rnacentral:sRNA from 1 species
UGAAUAAAACGCCCUUAAGUAAAUCCCUACUCAUCUAACAUUCACAUAGUGGUGCAACUCCAUAAUUCCAUAUCCUCUACACCUUCUAGUCCACGAAGAGCCUUCCGCCGCUGCCAAGGAGCUUCCAUUCCACCAUUGCAACUGCUGUCAUCCUUCAUUGGUGGAUCAUCAUCUGAGAGCUCCACUCUUUAAGAAUGAGCA